rnacentral:lncRNA from 1 species
GGAGGCACAGGUUUAGCAACGGCAGGGAUGGCGACGUAACCGUUCGAAUUAGAUCUAACGCCAUUUUCUUCGUCAUCGCUCUCCUCAUCAGAAUCCGCGCCAAAAUCAAAGCGUCUGGGGGCGAACAGGGACCAGAUUAAGUACAUGGUAGCGGCGGUGAGAGCACCACAUCCAACGCCGAAGAGUAACGCGCCGACGAUGCUCAUGAUGUCCAUGGUACGUUCACGAAUCGAUGCUUUAACAGAGGUAGACGUUGCGGAAUAAUACGGAACUGAAGAGACAACAUCAUCGGAUGAUGAUGAUUCGAUAGAGCGAUCAAAAACAGAUGCAGAGCGAGGAAGCGAUCUGGUGCGAUGGAAUUCGCGGAUUUCGGUGACGAAAAAGGUGAGACGUGG